rnacentral:rRNA from 1 species
AAGGGCACCACAAGAACGCGUGGAGCAUGUGGCUUAAUUUGACUCAACGCGGGAAAUCUUACCGGGUCCGGACACACUGAGGAUUGACAGGCAAUCAUGUGAAUUGUUUUUUUUUUAAAUUACAUUCACAUAUAAAUAUGCUAGUCCUUUCAUGAUUAUGUGAUAGGUGGUGCAUGGCCGUUCUUAGUUCGUGGAGUGAUCUGUCUGCUUAAUUGCGUUUCAUACUGGACUUAGAGAUCAAGUGUGUUUAUUUUUCUUGUGUGUUUUUUUAUUUUUAUAAUUUAUUAUAUUUAUAAAUUUGCAUGCUAUUUAUUGAAUAAAUAGAUACACAUCUAGUCCUGAAAGCAACGAACGUGACCG